CUUUAGAUGGCUGAAAAAAGCAUUGAUCUUUUAAAUCAAAAAAUGGUAUAAAUACCUCUAGAGA
rnacentral:tRNA from 1 species